rnacentral:rRNA from 1 species
CCUACGGGUGGCAGCAGUGGGGGAUAUUGCACAAUGGGGGAAACCCUGAUGCAGCGACGCCGCGUGGGUGAAGAAGCGCCUCGGCGCGUAAAGCCCUAUCAGCAGGAAAGUAAAUGACGGUACCUGACUAAGAAGCCCCGGCCAACUACGUGCCAGCAGCCGCGGUAAUACGGAGGGGGCAAGCGUUAUCCGGAUUUACUGGGUGUAAAGGGAGCGUAGACGGGAGUGCAAGUCCGUAGUGAAAGUCCGGGGCGCAACCCUGGGACUGCUAUGGAUACUGGAAAGCUGGAGUUCGGGAGGGGCAGGCGGAAUUCCUGGUGUAGCGGUGAAAUGCGUAGAUAUCAGGAGGAACACCGGCGGCGAAGGCGGCCUGCUGGACCGUAACUGACGUUGAGGCUCGAAAGCGUGGGGAGCAAACAGGAUUAGAUACCCCUGUAGUC